AUUGAACGCUGGCGGCAUGCUUUACACAUGCAAGUCGAACGGCAGCACGGGCUUCGGCCUGGUGGCGAGUGGCGAACGGGUGAGUAAUAUAUCGGAACGUACCCAGAAGUGGGGGAUAACGUAGCGAAAGUUACGCUAAUACCGCAUACGAUCUAUGGAUGAAAGCAGGGGACCGCAAGGCCUUGUGCUCCUGGAGCGGCCGAUAUCUGAUUAGCUAGUUGGUGAGGUAAAGGCUCACCAAGGCGACGAUCAGUAGCUGGUCUGAGAGGACGACCAGCCACACUGGAACUGAGACACGGUCCAGACUCCUACGGGAGGCAGCAGUGGGGAAUUUUGGACAAUGGGCGCAAGCCUGAUCCAGCAAUGCCGCGUGAGUGAAGAAGGCCUUCGGGUUGUAAAGCUCUUUUGUCAGGGAAGAAACGGUAGAGGCUACUAUCCUUUGCUAAUGACGGUACCUGAAGAAUAAGCACCGGCUAACUACGUG
rnacentral:rRNA from 1 species